GGUUUCGUAGUGAAGUGGUUACCACGCUUGCCUGUCACGCAAGAGAUCGCGGGUUCGAUCCCCGCCGGAACCG
rnacentral:tRNA from 2 species